UGGGGAAUAUUGCACAAUGGGCGCAAGCCUGAUGCAGCCAUGCCGCGUGUGUGAAGAAGGCCUUCGGGUUGUAAAGUACUUUCAGUCGGGAGGAAGGUGGUAAGGUUAAUAACCUUGUCGAUUGACGUUACCCGCAGAAGAAGCACCGGCUAACUCCGUGCCAGCAGCCGCGGUAAUACGGAGGGUGCAAGCGUUAAUCGGAAUUACUGGGCGUAAAGCGCACGCAGGCGGUCUGUCAAGUCGGAUGUGAAAUCCCCGGGCUCAACCUGGGAACUGCAUUCGAAACUGGCAGGCUAGAGUCUUGUAGAGGGGGGUAGAAUUCCAGGUGUAGCGGUGAAAUGCGUAGAGAUCUGGAGGAAUACCGGUGGCGAAGGCGGCCCCCUGGACAAAGACUGACGCUCAGGUGCGAAAGCGUGGGGAGCAAACAGG
rnacentral:rRNA from 1 species